CGAACGCUGGCGGCGUGCUUAACACAUGCAAGUCGAACGGUGAAGCGCCUUCCUUUUUGGUGGGUGUGGAUGAGUGGCGAACGGGUGAGUAACACGUGAGUAACCUGCCCCCUUCUUCUGGAUAACCGCAUGAAAGUGUGGCUAAUACGGGAUAUUCUGGGUCUGUCGCAUGAUGGGUCUGGGAAAGAUAUUGUUUCGGUGGGGGAUGGGCUCGCGGCCUAUCAGCUUGUUGGUGGGGUGAUGGCCUACCAAGGCGGUGACGGGUAGCCGGCCUGAGAGGGUGGACGGGCACACUGGGACUGAGACCCGGCCCAGACUCCUACGGGAGGCAGCAGUGGGGAAUAGUGCACAAUGGGCGCAAGCCUGAUGCAGCGACGCCGCGAGAGGGAUGGAGGCCUUCGGGUUGUGAACCUCUUUCGCCAGUGAAGCAGGCCUGCCUCGUUUGUGGGUGGGUUGACGGUAGCUGGAUAAGAAGCGCCGGCUAACUACGUG
rnacentral:rRNA from 1 species